UCGCAAGGCCGAAACUUAAAGGAAUUGACGGAAGGGCACCACCAGGGAGUGGAAUCUGCGGCUUAAUUUGACUCAACGCGGGAAAACUCACCAGGUCAGGACACGGUAAGGAUUGACGGACUGAAGGCUCUUUCUCGAUUCCGUGGAAAGUGGUGCAUGGCCGUUUUUGGUUGGUGGAUCGAUCCGUCUGGUUAAUUCCGUUAACGAACGAGACCUCGGCACUCCGAAUAGCGCGGCGGACGUCGCGGCCUCCGGGCCGUCUUCCGCACGAGCUUCUUAGAGGGACCGUCCCCCGCCGGGGAAGGAGGUGCGAGGCAACGACAGGUCUGUGAUGCCCUUAGAUGUUCUGGGCCGCACGCGCAUUACACUGACGCGUCCAACGGGUGACUCCCGACCCGAAGGGGCCGGGGAAUCCGCAAGGCGCGUCGUGAUGGGGAUUGAACGUUGCAAUUGUUGUUCACGAACGAGGAAUUCCUAGUAGGCGCGGGUCAUCAACCCGCGCCGAUUACGUCCCUGCCCUUUGUACACACCG
rnacentral:rRNA from 1 species